rnacentral:rRNA from 1 species
AUUGAACGCUGGCGGCAUGCUUUACACAUGCAAGUCGAGCGGCAGCGCGGGGGGCAACCCUGGCGGCGAGCGGCGAACGGGUGAGUAAUGCAUCGGAACGUAUCCUGUAGUGGGGAAUAACUCACCGAAAGGUGAGCUAAUACCGCAUAAGCUCUGAGGAGGAAAGCGGGGGACCGAAAGGCCUCGCGCUGCAGGAGCGGCCGAUGUCCGAUUAGCUAGUUGGUGAGGUAAAGGCUCACCAAGGCGACGAUCGGUAGCUGGUCUGAGAGGAUGAUCAGCCACACUGGGACUGAGACACGGCCCAGACUCCUACGGGAGGCAGCAGUGGGGAAUUUUGGACAAUGGGGGAACCCUGAUCCAGCCAUGCCGCGUGAGUGAAGAAGGCCUUCGGGUUGU